rnacentral:SRP_RNA from 1 species
GACAAGAAGGGGCAGGCGGCAGACUGUUGCCGCAGAGCGGAGGGGAGAGAGCAGCGGGGGGCGGGCGCAAGAA